rnacentral:rRNA from 1 species
AGUGAACGCUGGCGGCAGGCCUAACACAUGCGAGUCGAGCGGCAGCGCGUCCGACCACCCUCGGGUGGUCGGAUGGCGGCGAGCGGCGGACGGGUGAGGAAUGCAUCGGAAUCUGCCUCGUUGUGGGGGAUAACGUAGGGAAACUUACGCUAAUACCGCAUACGACCUACGGGUGAAAGUGGGGGACCUUCGGGCCUCACGCGAUGAGAUGAGCCGAUGCCGGAUUAGCUAGUUGGCGGGGUAAAGGCCCACCAAGGCGACGAUCCGUAGCUGGUCUGAGAGGAUGAUCAGCCACACUGGAACUGAGACACGGUCCAGACUCCUACGGGAGGCAGCAGUGGGGAAUAUUGGACAAUGGGGGCAACCCUGAUCCAGCCAUGCCGCGUGUGUGAAGAAGGCCUUGGUU